rnacentral:lncRNA from 1 species
GCCAUGGCGGGCCCGGCCCGGGCGUCCCGGUGGAGCCCGGGCCUGGUGUCGGGGAGCCAGCGGGGCCCCGGGCGGGAGCCCGCUGGGGGUUGAGCGCCGCCAGGGGUGAAUGUGCCGCUCCUUUGUUCCGGGCUUUUCUGCUCCCACCCUUCAGUCCCCUGCCAGCGCAUCCAGGCACAUCCAGGACCGGCUUUGUCGGAAUUCCAGGUGCUGAGGUCGUGUGGCUGUGGUGAACUGCUCUGGAUUGAUGGAUUACCCAGUUUUUGCUGCUGGUAGAAGCAGUGUCACCUGCUGAGAGAGGGGAGCUGGAGGUGAGCAGCCCGAGGCAGGAGUGGGCUGUGAGUCAGCAGGUGCCCGUGUCCAGCAGCAAACAUGAGUCAGCACCUGCAGCUCCUGGAGGCUGCUCCUCUGCACCAGUGACCUCCCCUGACCAGGGCUGCAGGCUGCCUCCAGCACUGCUGCUGCCCUUCUGAAAACAGAGCAGAGGGAAUGGUUGUAAGCUUAUAGAAAAAAAAUUGUAUUCUUUGUUGUGGAGGUUUAGUGAAGCAUCUUUUGGGAUAAAGACGUGGUAAAUAAAGGUGUUGGUCUCGCACU